GCUGGGUAUAGUGACAUGCACCUGUAAUCCCAGCAGCUGGGGAGGCUGAGGCAGGAGGAUUUUGAGUUCAAAGCCAUCCUUAGCAAAAGUGAGGCACUAAGCAACUCAGCAAGACCCUGUCUCUA
rnacentral:sRNA from 1 species